UACGUAGGGGGCGAGCGUUGUCCGGAAUGACUGGGCGUAGAGGGCGUGUAGGCGGCUGAUUAAGUCUGGAGUGAAAGUCCUGCUUUCAAGGUGGGAAUUGCUUAGGAGACUGGUCGGCUUGAGUGCGGAAGUGGUAAGUGGAAUUCCCAGUGUAGCGGUGAAAUGCGUAGAGAUUGGGAGGAACACCAGUGGCGAAGGCGACUUACUGGGCCGUAACUGACGCUGAGGCGCGAAAGCGUGGGGAGCGAAC
rnacentral:rRNA from 1 species